UCGCGAGAUACUGUACUUUCGCGUUAAACGGCCGUGUGCGCACGAGAAAUUAUACGGUGCUCGACUCAAGAAAUAUUGAGAUGAAAUGGAUGCACCGGCGGUUGAGCUAAACAUUUUCGAAAUAUACCUGGAAAUAUCAUCAAGCAGCUAAAGGUGACAAGAUCGACAUCAGUGUCAUAAAUUGUAUGACUGAUGAGGAGUUAGGCCAGUGUUUACUUAGAUAUAGGGAGCGACUUGCAUUCAGAGCAUUUUGCCGUCAAAGGACAUUGACAAAUGAACCAUCUGAAGGAGCCCGAGCUGCAAGUUGCGAGGACAACGGAACUUUCAAGAUAAGUGAAUGGAGCAGGCAUUCAACUCCCGACCCACACACACCUUGUGAAGAUGUUUAUAAUCACACUUACCAGUCCACAAGCAGCAUUAAACACCAACUGAUGGGCCUAUGAUUUCCCACAUUGAUGUCCCAGGAUUACCAGACCAUCCUGAAAAUUCAUCAGACCCUCAUCUGAAAAAUGUGUCAGAAAAAGAAGUCCAGCAUGUGACAGUAAGGAGAGUCACCAUAGUUCAAGAUAAUUAAGAUCUUCAUGGAACCGAAAGUAUUGGAAGUGCAUCUCACUAGGUGCUCUCUAAAAACUGCUAUUUUAACAAUGGCACAUAAAGCUCUACUUCAAGAGCCAAAAUUCAUAAUUGAUUAUUUCGCACAACUAUUCACAAUGACAUGCAGACAGUAUAACUGAACUUUGAGUCCAAGAGGGCAUCUAACUAGAAAGUGGCAUAUAUCAUAAAAGCGUCAAACGAAAUCCUAAUCCCACAGGAGCAAACCGCCCUCAACUACCUGUUACAGUUUUUGCACUUCUGCACAGGGUCCACAUAGAUGUGCAAAGACAAAAUUGAAAUAACAUUCAAUAGGUUGUGUGGUUUAAGCCGCAGGCCUGUUGCACACAUGUGGAGCAGUUCUUAAGUUACCAUGUAUCUACAGUUCAUACCCUGAGUUUUGUGCUGAGCUUGACAAUGUCAUCUCUGGUGAUUGCUGUGCUAUGGAUAUUGUGUAGCUAAUGUAAGGAAUUUAGACUGACCGUGUCAACACAGCGGAGGAAAAACUGAAAAGGUUCAUUUUAAGCACAUUUUCUCAUUUGUGUUGUCUCCUGUAAUUUGUCUUAGACAGGAAGCUUUUUUUCAGCUCCUCAUUUAGCAGCCAUCAAGAUCUGUAAACGGUGCGUGUGCGCGUGUUCGUGUAUCACAUCUAAAUCCAAACAAAUUAAUAAGGAGACAGAGUCUGUUCUUGUUUAGUAAAUGCAGUGCAAAACAGUCCACUGUAAAUAUUUAGCCAUGCAAAACCUUUCUCUGUUCCCUAACAGACCCAUUGGGUCUGUUUGUCUUUUUUGCUUUUAUCCAAUUUUCAAAGAAAAUAUGUGUUUUUCACAUUUGUGACUAUCACGGGAGUACCAUAUGCAAGUAUACGCAAUACAACUGCAGAGUAUCACUGUUGGAUCAAAAGAUGUUUAGCAUACUCGUACUAUUGGCGAUUGUUUGAGCUGCCAAUAACUGUUUAGAGACAGAAUGUGCUUCAAUAAAAGGUAUGUUGUACUUUUCA